rnacentral:rRNA from 1 species
UACGUAGGGUGCGAGCGUUGUCCGGAAUUAUUGGGCGUAAAGAGCUUGUAGGCGGUUUGUCGCGUCUGCUGUGAAAAUCCGGGGCUCAACCCCGGACUUGCAGUGGGUACGGGCAGACUAGAGUGUGGUAGGGGAGACUGGAAUUCCUGGUGUAGCGGUGAAAUGCGCAGAUAUCAGGAGGAACACCGGUGGCGAAGGCGGCUCCUGG